rnacentral:lncRNA from 1 species
GAGGCUGGGAAAGGAGAAGAGAUGGACCCGCGAAAAAGACGGGGAAGGAGGCUGCGGAGGGAAAGCUGGGCGCCACAGCCAAGCAGUUUGAAAGGGCUAGAGGGGAGGAGACGGGCCCAGGAGUUAACGGAAAAAGAGGCCGAAAACGGAAGAGAAAGCUUGGGAUCCUGAGCGCAUGGGGAAGGAACCCCAGUGCGGGGCUAAGGCAAGAGCGGCCGAGCCCUGCCCUCCAGCUCCUGGUCACCAGCCCGCGGGUCCCGAGCGCCCGCAGCCGCCCGGGUUUCCACACGGCUUGGGGAGACGCCCGCGGGGGCGGGUGCCGGCGAGGCUGCCCCGGGACCUACCCUCUUCGGCCUGCGCGCCCGCGUUUUUCUUGACGACUCCAGGAUCCGGGUGGCGCUGCGUGCCUGCCCCCAGUCCGCGUCCUGCGCGGAGAGGAUGCCUCUGUCACCCUCUGUGUGGACGUGGCCUUUGAACUCCUCAUUCCUCCACUGCGGGGGAAGAGCUGUUGUUUCAUCCUUCAUAGGAAGAGCUACUACUUCACAAUUGCAUGAGAAGAGAUCAAUUUAUAUGUAUGGCUCAUACACAUCUCAAAAGGAGAAAUCAAGAGGGACUUAGACCUACCACUACUAUGAAGCCUUUACUGAAUUCGCUGGUUCCUGAGGUUUCUUCUCAAGCUUCUGUAGAAGCUAUCCUCUGCACCACAACAUCAGAUCCUGAAUCAUGUGCUAUCAAUACUACUGGAUUUUCUGUUUUUCUGUGCCUGCUUUUCUUUCCUGUGUAGGUGGACAGAAAUGCACAUGGGUUGCAGUAUCUAGGGAAAUGCCAACUGAGGGUUCUUCAGGCCUAUUACAGACUAACAUAACUUUGAAGAGCAUAGUGAAUUCCAAUAUCUAAUCUUCAUCUUUGCAAGACCAAGAAUUCACUCUUGUCUGAGUCCUAGAAAUGAUUAUUGAUUCGAACAUUAAUUAUAUUUUCCUAACGUUUGAGUCGUCUCAAUGUUAAGUGGAGACAAUCUGGACAAAACAGAAGCUUUCUGCUCCACCUACUUGUAAGGCAAUGAGGGCAAUCACUCAACAGAAUUCCUCCUAAGAGGAACCCUGAGAGUGUUUGGAAGAAAUAAAUACUAUGCAGAAUGGAUGGUGACCAUCAAGAAAAAACUUCAGCGGAAAAAGAUGGCUCCCAGAUUUCUUUCUCAAGGAAACCAGAGCUCCAGGAGAAUGUUUUGUUUGACUGAGUACUUUGCUGGGCCAGAAGAUGAAAAAUUGGGACCAGGCAUGGUGGCUCACUCCUGUAAUCCCAGCACUUUGGGAGGCUGAGGCAGGCGGAUCAUGAGGUCAGGAGAUCGAGACCAUCCUGGCUAACACGGUAAAACCGUGUUUCUACUAAAAAUACAAAAAAUUAGCCAGGCGUGGUGGCGGCGGGCACCUAUAGUCCCAGCUACUCAGGAGGCUGAGGCAGGAGAAUGGCGUGAACCUGGGAGGCAGAGCUUGCAGUGAGCAGAGAUCGCACCACUGCACUCCAGCCUGGGCGACAGAGUGAGACUACAUCUCAAAAAAUAAUAAUAAUAAAAUAAAAUUGGAAGUCAGAGUCAAGGUAGAGCUAAACUGUAUUAGGCCGUUACAGUGCACAACUCCAGGUGCCGUCACUGGCAUUAAAGCCAGGAAGCAAUUGUGGAAAAGGGGAAUGUCUAAUGGUACCUAUCUCUAUGAGGUAAUAUAAGAUCUCUAUUUUUCUGGCAUACGCUUUCAGUAAUUUUAUCAUGUUUGAUAAUUCUUUUGUGACACUGGAUUGAUUUUGGGUGAUAGAAUGUUAAAAAAGGGCUGAGUUAUGAAUCUGAGUUACCACAGGUGAACGCAGGUACUUUUCCUGCAGCUUACCAGCUGAAAGAAAAGAGAAUAUUUGGGUUUCAUAUGAUUAUGGGAUACUGAUGUCUAAUUUGGGGGGGUUGUUAAGAUACUUAAACAAAAAGAAAUUAUAAACUGUAUGGAAAUUGUAGAAGCUCGACGUGUGUUUACUAUCUUCUUACAGGAAAGCCGAGUGAUACGGACUACUCAUAAGAAACUAAACAAGAUCAUCAAGUUGGUAACAAUGAGGGGUGUGUGUGUGUGUGUGUGUGUGUGUGUGUGUGUGUGUGUGUGUUGGGAAUUGCAUGAAGAGAGCAUGGCAGUUUUGGGGGAAUCUCACAAACAAAGAAGGAGAGCUCAGCAGUAAUUCAGAUGGUCAAGGCUCUAAGCCUGAUGACCUCUGUAUUAUUCCUACAAUAGGUCUAGGCCUGUCACAGGAGAGAGGGCCAUAGAGCACGUCUAGCCUCUCCUUUCCCCCAUACCUUGCUAGGACACUUGUAAAUCUGUUUCUCUUAUCAUCUGCUCCUCUCUUUUGAUAGCCACACUUUUCUUCAAAUAUAUUAAUGCAAGCGGCAUUGCUCUAGCUAAAUCUUGCUGUUGCCAAGAAGUCAUUUAUCUCUUUUAGAUGAUUUUACGUAUUUAUCACUUGUUUUAUUUUUUUAUUUUAUUUUAUUUUAUUUUAUUUUAUUUUAUGGUUUUUAAUCUCAGAGCUGCCUCUUCUUAUUGUUGUUGCUCUGAGUUCUGGAGUCAAGAGACCAGCAACUUAUUAAAACCCCAGUUCUGGACAACAUAGCCAACACAAAGUGUAAAUCUACUAGAAAAAAUAUCUUGCUUUUCUCAUUGUUUGUAUUCCUAUAAUUUCAGUCACAAAACAAGGGACAAAAUAGAAGCUAAAUAAACACUUGAAUAUUUCCUGGGGUCCUUUUGAUGAAAGAAUCUAUAUGAACACUUCAUGCAUUUUUUUUUUAAUGACAAAAGCUUUUGCCCUGUUCUUAAAGUCUAUUAUUGUUGCAUGCCUCUUCUUGGGUUCCAGUGAAUUAAAAUUUGUAGCAACUUAAUCUGUCUCUCUCUAAACACAUUUGUAAUGCUUUGUUUUCUUUAUUCAGUUGUGCUUUGUGUGUCAUAUAUCAUUACACUAUGUUGCAUUUCUUACAGAGAAAAUCUACUGAAAGUGUCUUUUUUUUUAGAAAAGAAAAAUUCUUUAUUACUAUGGCCUAUAGCAAUUAAAGCUUGAAAUUAGAAUUAAGUAUUGUGCAUUGCGAUGCAGACGACCAUAUAGAUAUAUUAACAUUUUG